UCUUUUCAUCGUUGAAACACAAGUUUCAGCCAAAUUCAACAAAACCACAUCGAUUAUGCUCCGACAAGUUGUUAAUUCCAGUUCUUGAAGACCACUUAAGCACUUGAGAAACCUUGAAAACGAGGAGUAAUCUCCAAUACUCUCGCAGCUCGUCAGCUGCAGUUUCUUAACAUUCUGACAGUUUCUCCAGAGAAAGCUAAGCCCUUCUUCCUUUCUCUCUCUCUCUCUCUCUCUCUCUCUCUCUCUUUCUACCUCCAUUCUUUCCCCUCUCUUAUUUCUUCCCCAAACAUCUUAAAACCCUAGCCCCCAAAUUCACGGCAACUAGAAAGGCAAGUCGCCGACGAGCGCGGCGACGAGUCAAAAGGAUGGGUAUGAGCUCGAUUAUUGCUCCGAACAAGAUGAAGAAAUUGGUGAAAUAUACUCAAGAGAGAUAAAACCCCUGGUCUCAGACAUCUUUGAUGGCCGAAAUGCAUCAGUUAUUGCUUUUGGGGCAAGGGGAAGUGGCAAAACAUACACCAUCCAGGGAUCCCUUGAGAAACCAGGUUUGGCUGUCUUGGCAAUGUCUGAAAUCCUUUCAAAAGCAAGAGGAUUACAGAAGUCAGUUUCGGUGUCCCUUUAUGAACUAUCACAUGACCAGGCAUACCAUCUGUUGAAUCCUAAGCAUCCCGUUGUCCAAGUACUGGAAGAUGCUCAUGGCAAAAUCAACCUCAAAGGACUUUCUCAGAAUCCUGUCUUUUGCCAAAACUCUCUUAGCUCAAUAAUUUUGGUUUCUCGGUCAUGUCGAAGCACAAGGCAAGUAUUGACAGACUUUAGUAGUUUAGCAAAAGCGAAGGUGGUUUCGUCAUUGAAAAGUGGGAAAACAAUCUCUACUUCCUUGAGUGUGAAAAAGCAGGUUGGUUGCAGCCAGUUCUCUUCGGCCAAUUAGGCUAGUUCCAUCUUGAAGGGAAGGUAAAACUACUUUCAUUUGAGGUAGGAGGAAAAUUAAGUUGGAGUUUCUAUUGAUAUUUGUCUACGUUUUUUCUUCAAAGAAACU